UACGGGGGGGGCAAGCGUUGUUCGGAAUUAUUGGGCGUAAAGAGCGUGUAGGCGGUUUGGUAGGUCCGCUGUGAAAACUCGAGGCUCAACCUCGAGACGCCGGUGGAAACCAUCAGGCUAGAGUCCGGAAGAGGAGAGUGGAAUUCCUGGUGUAGCGGUGAAAUGCGCAGAUAUCAGGAAGAACACCCGUGGCUAAGGCGGCUCUCUAGUACGGUACUGACGCUGAGACGCGAAAGCGUGGGGAGCGAACAGG
rnacentral:rRNA from 1 species